GGCACCACCUGAAAUGGGAAUCCGGCCAACUCCUGGAGUUGCUGUUGUCGGCGACGUCGCUGACAUGUUGCUGCACUUCCCUCCCCAACCAGUUGCUGCUGACUUGCCGAGAAUGAAGACUCGUUGAGGGAGCACAUAAAGUUUUUGGAGCAACAAGGAGCAGUAGGUCUUAUCUUCCAAAACAGCAGUCUUGGCUAGGUUGACUGCUAGUUUGGUUGCGUUGAACACUCAGAAAGCAUGCAUGUUCCUUUGGCAUGGCCAUGAUGGCCAUGCAGUUUUACAAGAAUGCAUCUGCAUCCGACUAUGGAUUUUGUGAAUGGGUUGCCCAUGCAGUAUAGCCAAAGGAGUUGCCCUGAGAAGGGCACCGUGAGCUCAGAGAUCCCUGAG